rnacentral:rRNA from 1 species
AGUUCGGAUUGUAGUCUGCAACCCGACUACAUGAAGCUGGAAUCGCUAGUAAUCGCGAAUCAGAAUGUCGCGGUGAAUACGUUCCCGGGUCUUGUACACACCGCCCGUCACACCAUGGGAGUCGGAAAUGCCCGAAAUCAGUGACCCCAACCGCAAGGAGGGAGCUGCCGAAGGUGGAGCCGGUAACUGGGGUGAAGUCGUAACAAGGUAGC